GAUUGGUUGAAAAGCAUCAUUCAGAAGGGACCAAUAAAGAGAGAGGGGUUGAACUACCUAGAGAAAACCAUUUUAAAUAACAAUUUCAGAAGAUUUUAAAAAUUCAACUCUACCUAAAGACACCAUAAAACGGCUCAUUAUUCCAUCAUCCAGGUCAUAUCGUCUAAUAACAGAAAACAGAAAGAAGUACAAGGAUCAUAAUUACAGAGAGAAGUUUGACCAAAUCCCUUUUUGUAAAAAUAUUAAAUAUAAAUAUAUAUCUUCUAUGUUUUUGUUCUAACCCUAAAUACUAAAUAUUUACUGGGAAGUCUCUUAAUCUGUGAAAGACUACGUUCAAUUACAUUAAAUAAAAUACGGGAAUUGCUAAAUUUUAAAUUCAGUAUUCCCUACGAAAAACUAAACUUAGGAAAAGUAUAUAUUUUAUGAAUUUUGCCACAACUGCUCAUUUGGGGAAUAAAAAUCAGAACUCUGAAAUUUUAGCUUUGAAAACCAAUAUUGUCUUUGAAAGCUAAUGAUCAAGUGAUCAUUUUGUUUCCUAGCCAUUUAAUAAUAACCUUGGCUUUCUUUUUCGGGUUCAUAUUCCUUGCACCAUCUUUGACCAAAACCAAAAUUCUCACCUACUUUCUAUGUAAUAAAUCAUUAGGAACUAUAAAAAAGAGAGAAAACAAUUAACUUUAUCCAAUUUUAUAACUAUUGGAUGGGCAUUCUGCUAGACACUUUAUGCUUCUUAUCAUAUUAAUGCUCCAGUAUUAUAUGCAAUAGAAAAUAAAAGUUAAUCUAGUAAUAUAUAAUGUUAAAUUCAACUAAAUUUGG
rnacentral:lncRNA from 1 species